GCGGAUAUAGCUCAGCCAGGAAGAGCGCCGGAUGCAGAAUCCGGAGGUCGCGGGUUCGAAUCCCGUUAUACGCCCCA
rnacentral:tRNA from 1 species